CCAUGUGAGUAUUGUGGAGGUCACUGUGUUAGACUGUGGCCCCUUUGCUUUAACACCUCAGUCUCAGGGGUGUUUCCUAGAAAAAAUAUGGUAAGAGAAUUCUUUCUCACUUGAAGGGAAACCUGCAGAAGUUCUAAGGCUCAAUAUUCAUAGUGGAUGUUAGCAAGAAUCCUGGCCUCCCCAUCCACCUAGCCAACAUGAAAACUACAUUACGGGGAAAAGGAACAAGACCAUGCUAAAAGGAUACAGCAUGUUCUGCAAGCAUACAACGUGCUCGAUUCAUUGACAACCACCACUGGUGUGGGAGGCUUCCACUCCACCGCAUACCAGAUUGAAACUGAGGGAAGAAUAUCAUCCCAAGGCUCUGAUCCUCAUCAAGUGGGUGCCUGCAAGUUACCUGUGCUUCUUUCUCAGCAGUCUGGUACUCAAGCAUGUCACUGCAUAUAGUAAGCAAGCAAUCCCAGGACACAGGGACCUUGAACAGUACUUUUCCUACCCUAUACAAAAAGAAAACUCACACAGACUAGAUUUCUGAUUUGUUAGUCUUUUAUACUUGAAUUUAUUCACACAAAAUAUGGUAUCGGCUACACUCAGGGCCCCAACAUGCUCCACUGAAGCCUAGGAAGAUCCAUUUCCUGUGCUGUGAUGGAGGCCAUACUUGCUGCUAUCUGGAUCCUGGUGAGGUUCCAGGGUCUGGCCUUUCCUGGCUGUGAGGUCUGGACCCAUCACUAGAAAACACACCCGAAAGAACCCAUCCUGUACUUUAUCCUAUGCCCUUCUUUUUCUCCAUCUGCACAAUCUGCACAUCAUGGGAUUACUCAGGGGUCCAUCACCACUACAAGGACCCUCAUUUAUGCACACUGAAAGCCAGAGAAGAGAAAAUGGACACUCCUGAGCAGACACCGGACAAACUGUUACAAUCUGUAUCUCAGGGAACUACUCUAGGAUAAUUAUCUGAAUCCUUGCUUUUUCUCUACAAUGCCUAGUUUGUUGUUGUUGUUGUUGUUUUUUUUUUUUGAAGCAAAAAAUUUAUUAGUACAUUUCAGGUAAACAUAAUGAUAGCAUUCAUCACAGGGAAUUUGUACCUGUUCAUGAUGUAUCUUUCUUCUUUUUUUUCCCAUUCUCCUCCCCUCCCUCUACCUCUCUCCUUCUCCUUUAUUUACAAAAGCUUUGUUUCCAUUUUUUCUUCUAUUUUCUUUUCUUUCUUUCUUCUUUCCUCUCCCCCCCCUCCACCCUCUUUUGUUCCCCUUUACAAUGGCCAGUUUAAAGGCACACUUUCGGCCUGGAUUCAGUAGCACCUGAUUCUACACCCUGAUAGGAAUGAGCCCCUUAACCUCACACUUGCCAAAUAAAGGAGACUACCUCAGAGUUUCACUAUCAACAAUGAAAAUCACAUCUGAAAAUAAGGUCUCUGAUGUGUGAAUGUGGGGUCAGCUCAGAACUCGACAGUCACAGUGACCUUCCCAGCAUAAGAAUCCAGUACAUGACAACAUCUCAUUGGGCUAUUACCCUUAUGCUAGCCACCUGGAUAUUGAAGAUUGGAUGGGUGCCAAUGGGCUGUAAUUUAUACUUUUGUUUUUCCUUGGUUUGUUCAAGGUUUUUUCAACACACUCAUUCAAUUGAUCACUUCCAUUAACUUGAAAGCACCUACAGAAAACUGUCAUUUAGCUCUCAUCUUGCUCUUCCAUGUCACUGACUCUUUCUGCCCCUCACCCAGAAACAGAAAGGCAUCCUUCAGCUAUGUGUUAAUAGAGUCCUUAAUUCUAUGUAAAUUGUAUUCUCUGGCAUGUCCAAAUGUGUAAUAGAGCCAUCUGUAAAUUUUUCAAUGUUUACUGUUGUGUUGUAACACCACCAUGUCUACAUCCAACCAUGAUGCGAUGGAUCCCUGAAAUUGUACAGGUUCAAUAUUCAUUUCUGUCUCAUACAAAAUGCAGUAUUGCAUUCACUAGAUAUUUUCAUCAUGUCUCUCAUUUCAUCCAUUAGUACUUGUAACAAAACCUCAGUAACAAGUGUCAAGGACAUCCUCAUCACUCAUCCCUGUAUAUGAAGAUCUGAUUUCCUGUGAUGUGGUGAAUGCCCACAUUAGCACUUAUAGAGAGAUCAGUAGUGUUCUACUUUACAAACUUAUUUUGCUUGCUGUGAUGUAUUCACCCAUCUAUGGACUCUUGUCAUAGACUUCUGAUUUGGUAUAUGUCUCAUUUGCACUUAUACAACUCCAAAUUCCCUAUGUCACUUCAUCAUUUCAGCAUCCACUUACGUUAUCUAGAUACUUGCAGGCUUCCAUGGAUAAAGCCUUGUAAGAGAGUGUUGUCUGUCUUCAGUGAUACAUGCAAACCUUCCAAGGACAAUAUUUCAGAGAUGGACUCAGUGAAAAUUACAUAAAUCUCUUCUCCACCAGUAGCAAUACAAGCAUAUUACAUCUAUUACAUUCCAGAAAAGAUGCAAUGACAUUUGAUGUAUCCUUGUAAUAUUAAGGUGAUAAUAUGUUUUGAAAACAUGUAUCACCAGAAGUGGGGGAAUAUAAUAAAACCUAACACAGUCAUAAAAUGAAUUGCUGAAAAUGAGAUGUCACUAGUGAGUGACUAUAUCAUCCCAGACCAAUACACUAGCCAAGACCUUAACAUCUGAGCACCUAGUUAGGAACUUGCCAGGAUUAUAGAAGAUCAAACAGCCUUCACUGGACUAUGACCAUUUUAUCAUUUACCUUGUUACUAGGGUGACUGCAACAACCAUCUUUUCUGGAUCACUGUGUUCUCUUGAAGGGCAUCUGAAAAAAAUACAAAGCCAGUUUGGCAUAGAAGGUGCUGUGUCAGAACAUGAGCCCACUCCCUUUUUAAUGUCCAUUGCUAAAGGACAGCUAAACUCCUCAGGAUACUUGGAUUCACCAAACAAAAACAGUAUUGUCAGAGAGCCCAUAUUUUGUCAUCUCCACACCCUGGAAAUUAACCUAUGCUUACUGCAGUCCUAGAGUUCCACAAUAAUUUCAAUUAACCAGUUCAUAAUCACUCCCUCAGCAGUCCUUGCUAAAACACCAAUUUUCCCUAUGGCAUAUAAAGGAUAAACUCAUAUUUACUAGAACUGUGAAGGACAAAAUUAUUUCUUAUAGGAGCAGUGACCACUAAAUCUAGUAAUAGUCAGGACACCCUCAUCCCUUUCCUCUAUAGAUGAAGAUCUGGUUUAGGGUACCUCAGCA
rnacentral:lncRNA from 1 species